rnacentral:rRNA from 1 species
UACGUAGGGUGCAAGCGUUGUCCGGAAUUAUUGGGCGUAAAGAGCUCGUAGGCGGUUUGUCGCGUCUGCUGUGAAAACUCGGGGCUUAACCCCGGGCCUGCAGUGGGUACGGGCAGACUAGAGUGCGGUAGGGGAGACUGGGAAUUCCUGGUGUAGCGGUGAAAUGCGCAGAUAUCAGGAGGAACACCGGUGGCGAAGGCGGGUCUCUGGGCCGUAACUGACGCUGAGGAGCGAAAGCGUGGGGAGCGAACAGG